UACGUAGGGCGCAAGCGUUGUCCGGAAUUAUUGGGCGUAAAGAGCUCGUAGGUGGUGUGUCGCGUCUGCCGUGAAAGCCCGGGGCUUAACUCCGGGUCUGCGGUGGAUACGGGCAGACUUGAGUUCGGUAGGGGAGACUGGAAUUCCUGGUGUAGCGGUGAAAUGCGCAGAUAUCAGGAGGAACACCGGUGGCGAAGGCGGGUCUCUGGGCCGAUACUGACGCUGAGGAGCGAAAGCGUGGGGAGCGAACAGG
rnacentral:rRNA from 1 species